rnacentral:rRNA from 1 species
GACGAACGCUGGCGGCGUGCCUAAUACAUGCAAGUAGAACGCUGAAGGGGGAGCUUGCUCUUCUGGAUGAGUUGCGAACGGGUGAGUAACGCGUAGGUAACCUGCCUGGUAGCGGGGGAUAACUAUUGGAAACGAUAGCUAAUACCGCAUAACAGUAGAUGUUGCAUGACAUUUACUUAAAAGGUGCAAUUGCAUCACUACCAGAUGGACCUGCGUUGUAUUAGCUAGUUGGUGGGGUAACGGCUCACCAAGGCGACGAUACAUAGCCGACCUGAGAGGGUGAUCGGCCACACUGGGACUGAGACACGGCCCAGACUCCUACGGGAGGCAGCAGUAGGGAAUCUUCGGCAAUGGGCGGAAGUCUGACCGAGCAACGCCGCGUGAGUGAAGAAGGUUGUCGGAUCGUAAAGCUCUGUUGUAAGAGAAGAACGAGUGUGAGAGUGGAAAGUUCACACUGUGACGGUAUCUUACCAGAAAGGGACGGCUAACUACGUG